UACGUAGGGAGCAAGCGUUGUCCGGAAUUACUGGGCGUAAAGGGUGCGCAGGCGGCGAGUUAAGUCAGCGGUAAAAUUUCGGGGCUCAACCCCGGCCCGCCGUUGAAACUGGCAGUCUCGAGUUGGAGAGAAGUAUGCGGAAUGCGCGGUGUAGCGGUGAAAUGCAUAGAUAUCGCGCAGAACUCCGAUUGCGAAGGCAGCAUGCCGGCUCCACACUGACGCUGAGGCACGAAAGCGUGGGUAUCGAACAGG
rnacentral:rRNA from 1 species